rnacentral:rRNA from 1 species
AGCGAACGCUGGCGGCAGGCUUAACACAUGCAAGUCGAGCGGGCGUAGCAAUACGUCAGCGGCAGACGGGUGAGUAACGCGUGGGAACAUACCUCUUGGUUCGGAACAACACAGGGAAACUUGUGCUAAUACCGGAUAAGCCCUUACGGGAAGAUUAUCGCCGAAAGAUUGCCGCGUCUGAUUAGCUUGUUGGUGAGGUAACGGCUCACCAAGGCGACGAUCAGAGCUGGUCGUGAGAGGAUGAUCAGCCACAUUGGGAC